AGGCCCGCCAAUUCCUUUAAGUUUCUCUGGUUGAUCCUGCCGGCGGCCACCGCUAUUGGAAUUCGAUUAAGACAUGCGAGUCGAGAGACAUUUGGUCUCGGCGGACCGCUCAGUAACACGCGGAUAACAUGCCCUUGGGUGGGGGAUAACCUCGGGAAACUGAGAAUAAUACCCCAUAGACCUCGAAAGCUGGAAUGCUUCAAGGUCGAAAACUCCGGUGCCCAAGGAUUGGUCUGCGGCGUAUCAGGUCGUAGUGGGUGUAACGUACCCCCUAGCCUAUGACGCGUAAGGGCCUUGAGAGAGGGAGCCCUGAGAUGGACUCUGAGACAUGAGUCCAGGCCCUACGGGGCGCAGCAGUCGCGAAAACUUCACAAUGGGGGAAACCCCGAUGAGGGAAUUCCAAGUGCCAGCACAUUGUGUUGGCUGUUCUCAGGUCUAAAAAACCGGAGAAGUAAGGCCGGGUAAGACGGGUGCCAGCCGCCGCGGUAAUACCCGCGGCCCGAGUGGUGGUCGGUAUUAUUGAGCCUAAAACGUCCGUAGCCGGUCUUGUAAAUCCUUGGGUAAAUCGACCAGCUUAACUGUUCGAAGUCCGGGGAGACUGCAAGACUUGGGAUCGGGAGAGGUCAGAGGUACUUCUGGGGUAGGGGUAAAAUCCUGUAAUCCUAGAAGGACCACCGGUGGCGAAGGCGUCUGACUAGAACGAAUCCGACGGUGAGGGACGAAGCCCUGGGGCGCAAACGGGAUUAGAUACCCCGGUAGUCCAGGGUGUAAACGCUGCGGGCUUGGUGUUGGGGGUCCUUUAAGGGCGCCCAGUGCCGGAGAGAAGUUGUUAAGCCUGCUGCUUGGGGAGUACGUCCGCAAGGAUGAAACUUAAAGGAAUUGGCGGG
rnacentral:rRNA from 1 species